GACCCGUUAGUUCAGGGGUAGAAUGUGUGAUUCCAGUGCCUGGAACAUCCACAAGGUCAACGGUUCAAUUCCGUUACGGGUCA
rfam:Exidia glandulosa HHB12029 unplaced genomic scaffold EXIGLscaffold_194, whole genome shotgun sequence.